CGCCCGCCCGCCGGAGCGGGUGUGGGGGACAAAGGGUCCCAGCUUGGGGUACCCGACCGCCACUCCCGGGGCGUUCAGAGUCGGCCCCGGAACGAGCAUUUUUGGUUCCGCUCUUGAGUGGUUCUGAGGCACGUCUGAAAGAAUUACAGAAGCAUCCCUAAGAUGGAAAAAGACGAGCAUCCAGGUUAUCAGAAUCUCUCCUGGGGAGGCUUAUGCAAUUGAGUGGAAAGACCACGUCUUCACAGCUGAAAGCCAACAUUGAAUCUACCUCUAAGGGAAAUGGGUUCAGAUGGCGACACAAUUAAGGGAAGCUUACCUGGCCAGAACUAAAUGGCUGAUGAAAGAAUGAUGAAAGACUCAGACCUGCUCGCAUCAGUAGGCCACCUUCCUCACAUAAUCCUUAGAGCUUUCUCUAAAUAAGAUAGUACAGAUUAGAAGAAAAGUGUUUCCAACCCGGAUGCUUAAACGUGCACAUAACGGAAAGUAGAUUCAAGAAACGGAAUUUUGGCCGGGCAGAGGUGGUGCAUGCCCUUAAUCCCAGCACUUGGGAGGCAGAGGCAGGUGGAUUUCUGAGUUGGAGGCCAGUCUGAUCUACAGAGAGGGGAGUGAUCUAAAUGGCAGUCUCCAGAGCAGUGGGAGGUGCUUUGAGGAAGAAGAAGUGGGGAGAGGAGGAGGAGGCAGAAGAGAAGGAGGAAGCAGAAGAGGAGGAGGAGGUUUUUGGUUCCUGCUGCUCCUGUUGCUGUUGCUUAAUGAGACGUUGGAGAUGCCCUGUUGUGGAAGAUUGGACUGAUCUCAAGAAACUCAAUGCCCCUAAUGAUCAGGAGUAGUCAAAAAGGUCUACAUCCCCCUUUCCCUCUAACCUUCCUUCUCUUCUACCUUGAUGUACUAGAACACAAUAGAAUAGACCAAAAAAAAAAAAAAAAAAAAAAAAAAGCCCCCAACAGAAGACAGUCCCUGUAGGUUUGUCUUUGAGAUUUCUCACAAAAAAAAAAAAAAAAAAAAAAAA
rnacentral:lncRNA from 1 species